CGGCUGCGCGGUCCGUGCCGCCUUCUAGGCUCAGGGACCGGCUUCCUCGCUCUGGGCUCCUGGCGAGUUUUCUCCCGCUCCACCAUGUGGAGCGGACGGCAGGGCCGCCUCAGGCCGGUGGGCUGCGUAGUGGAGGAGCUACGGUGCCGCCGGCGGGAGCGGGAGGCAGCACUGCGGAAGGCGCGGAGGGAGCAGCAGCUGGUCAGUAAGAGGCUGCUGAGAGACGACGUCCUGGAGGAAGUCGAAGGGGGAUGUGUGGCCAAGAUCCUCGGGGAAGCUGAGAUCCAACAGUUCCUCCGGUUAGCGCAACGAGGGACAGAGGAAAAGGAGAGAGAGAGGGCUCUGGUCAGCCUUCGUCGAGGCUUGCAGCACCCUGAGACGCAGCAGACCUUCAUCUGGCUGGAGGGCAGCAUUCGGACCUUGGUCGGGCUUCUGACCAGCAGCCAAGCCCUGUUGCAGCUAGAGGCCGCUCGGUGCCUUCAUGAGCUCUCUCAUUCUGAGCAGUCUGCGGUGGCUGAGGCCUGCCUGCCAGCCACUUCAUACCUUCUCACCUACCUCUCCGGUCACAGCUCAGACUUUAUAGAGCUCUGUCUGUAUACACUGGGUAACCUGAUUGUGGAGAGUGAGGCUGUGAGAAGGCAGCUCCUGCCACAGGGCAUUGUUCCAGCUUUGGCUGCCUGCAUCCAGUCUCCCCAUCUGACUGUGCUGGAAGCCCUUGGAUAUGCCUUGUCCCAGCUCCUUCAGGCUAAGGAAGCUCCAGAGAUGAUCAUCCCCUCUGUCUUGGGCUCCAUUCUCCCCCAGCAUAUCCUGCGACUGUUGCAACCUGGCCCAAAGCUGAACCUUGGGGUCGCUGUGGAGUUUGCCUGGUGCCUGCACUACAUCAUCUGCAGCCAGGUCAACAAUGCCCUGCUUAUCCACCAUGGGGGUCUGUCCACUCUGGGGCUGCUGCUGUUGGAUGUGGCUGCGGCUGUCCAGAGAACUGAGGAUGCAGGACUGGAGUUGCUGGCAUGCCCUGUGCUUCGGUGUCUAAGCAACUUGCUAACAGAAGCAGCAGUGGAGGUUGGGGGAGGGCCAAAUCAGCUUGACGAUGAGCGUGUUGUGGCGGCCUUAUUUAUCCUUCUGCAGUUCUUCCUUCAGAAACAGCCCAGCCUACUUCCUGAGGGCCUCUGGCUCCUUAACAACCUCACUGCGAAUAGUUCUAGUUUCUGUACCUCCUUGCUCUCCAUGGAUCUGAUCGAGCCCCUCUUGCAGUUGCUGCCAGUUUCUAAUGUGGUGAGCGUAUUGGUGCUCACAGUUCUGUGCAAUGUGGCUGAGAAGGGUCCUGCUUACUGCCAACAUCUGUGGCCAGGGCCCUUGCUCCCCUGCUUGAUGGGCAUGCUAGCCUCCUCUGAUACUGAAGUAGUAGGCCAGAGUUUAGAGCUGCUGCAACUGCUGUUCCUCUAUCGGCCAGAGGUGAGUUUUGGCCCUGGUACCCCUGUUCUGAGGCCUCUAGUCUCACCAUGGCCCCUUUCCUUCCCAUCCUAUCUAUAGUCACUUCUCUGGGCCUGGCAAGCCUAUGUGGACUCCAGGUCAGAAAUUCCUGCCUCUUGUUGGGAAGGCACUCUUCUGAAUAGAGGCUGUGGAGGCGUUUCUGCAGCAAUCAGGGCUGCAGGUCCUAGAAAAGCAUCAGGAGGCGGCACAGCUCCAGGAUCGUGUGCAUGCUCUCCAGAAGACAGCUCUUCACAGGUG